rnacentral:misc_RNA from 1 species
GAUGAAGAACGCAGCGAAAUGCGAUAAGUAAUGUGAAUUGCAGAAUUCAGUGAAUCAUCGAAUCUUUGAACGCACAUUGCGCCCAUUAGUAUUCUAGUGGGCAUGCCUGUUCGAGCGUCAUUUCAACCCUUAAGCCUAGCUUAGUAUUGGGAAUCGACUUUACUGUCGUUCCUCAAAUUCAACGGCGGAUUUAUAGCAAUCUCUGAACGUAGUAAUUUUUUUCCUCGUUUUUGAAAUACUAUAAACCUCAGCCGCUAAACCCCCAAUUUUUUUAUGGUUGACCUCGGAUCAGGUAGGAAUACCCGCUGAACUUAAGCAUAUCAAUAAGCGGGGA